CUAGAAGCCACAAGGUUGCCAACGUAUAACUACAGCGAGACUCCGAAUGUAUGUCCCUAGUUCGUCUGUAUGAAUGUCUCCCAAGUUGGUUGCCUGUUCUCCACUGAACCAGGACUCUUCUUCCGGCCCAUGUGAUGACAUCUAUACACUGGCCUUGGUCCUGGAAGACGUGCCUGUCUAUUGGCUGGGAAAGCCUAGAAGCAAGGAUUUCUAACGGCAAGACAGUAUUCAGGAAUGCUUGUUACAGCCAGCACAAUCUGGAUGUCAAAGGAGAUACGCUUAACUUUCCCAGAAGCAACUGCAGCCAAGUUCUGUGUUGUCUUGGAACAACCUUCAGGAAG
rnacentral:lncRNA from 1 species